CCCUGGUUGAUCCUGCCAGUAGUUAUAUGCUUGUCUCAAAGAUUAAGCCAUGCAUGUCUCAGUGCAAGCCGUAUUAAGGCGAUACCGCGAAUGGCUCAAUAUAUCAGUUUUGGUUCCUUAGAUCUUACUCAGUUACUUGGAUAACUGUGGUAAUUCUAGAGCUAAUACAUGCAAUCAGAACUCUGACCAGUGAUGGGAUGAGUGCUUUUAUUAGAUCAAAACCAUCGACGGAGGCCUCGCGUCCGAAGUCGUUAAUUUUGAUGAAUCUGGAUAACUUUUGCAGAUCGCAUGUUCAAGUACCGCCGACGCAUCUUUCAAAUGUCUGCCUUAUCAACUUUCGAUGGUAGUUUCUGCGACUACCAUGGUUGUCACGGGUAACGGGGAAUCAGGGUUCGAUUCCGGAGAGGGAGCCUGAGAAACGGCUACCACAUCCAAGGAAGGCAGCAGGCGCGCAAAUUACCCACUCCCGGCACGGGGAGGUAGUGACGAAAAAUAACGAUACGGGACUCUUACGAGGCCUCGUAAUCGGAAUGAGUACACUUUAAAUAUUUUAACGAGGAACAAUUGGAGGGCAAGUCUGGUGCCAGCAGCCGCGGUAAUUCCAGCUCCAAUAGCGUAUACUAAAAUUGUUGCGGUUAAAAAGCUCGUAGUUGCAUUUGUGCGCCGCGCUGUCGGUGCACCGCAUCCGCGGUGAUACUGACACGUUUGCGGAGCAUAUCGUCGGUGAGCCGGCGUUCUAAAAAACGCCGGUUCAAUAUCAAAAUCCUAUCGCGGUGCUCUUCGGUGAGUGUCGAGGUGGGCCGACAAUUUUACUUUGAACAAAUUAGAGUGCUCAAAGCGGGCUAAAAAUGCUGCUUGAAUAUUUCGUGCAUGGAAUAAUAGAAUAUGAUCUCGGUUCUAUUUUGUUGGUUUUCAGAACUCCGAGUAAUGAUUAAUAGGGAUAACUGGGGCAUUCGUAUUGCGACGUUAGAGGUGAAAUUCUUGGAUCGUCGCAAGACGAACAUCAGCGAAAGCAUUUGCCAAAGGUGUUUUCAUCAAUCAAGAACGAAAGUUAGAGGUUCGAAGGCGAUUAGAUACCGCCCUAGUUCUAACCGUAAAUAUGUCAUCUAGCGAUCCGCCGACGUUACUACAAUGGCUCGGCGGGCAGCUUCCGGGAAACCAAAGAUUUUGGACUCCGGGGGGAGUAUGGUUGCAAAGCUGAAACUUAAAGGAAUUGACGGAAGGGCACCACCAGGAGUGGAGCCUGCGGCUUAAUUUGACUCAACACGGGAAAUCUCACCAGGCCCGGACACCGGAAGGAUUGACAGAUUAACAGCUCUUUCUUGAUUCGGUGGGUGGUGGUGCAUGGCCGUUCUUAGUUGGUGGAGCGAUUUGUCUGGUUAAUUCCGGUAACGAACGAGACUCUAGCCUGCUAAAUAGGCGUCGUUAUUUAGGUGUGCGCGGCCUCGUGUCGCGCAACUCACUGACGACGUAUUAAAUUCUUCUUAGAGGGACUCGGCGUCUUCGAGCCGCACGAAUUGAGCAAU
rnacentral:rRNA from 1 species